rnacentral:sRNA from 1 species
AUCAUGUCUUGAAACCUGCAAUUGAAACAGUUGUGCAUCAAAGCAGAAAAAGAAAAUCAAUGUCCUUUGGUGAGAAGGUAAAACUGGUAUAUGAAAAUUGUGAGGUUCUUAAGAAGAAAGUUGGAAGGCUGGAGGGCUAUUUAGGCAUCCAAAGAGUUCCUGCCAGUUAUACUAGAGAAGAACAAAAAGAAGAGGACGAAAAAAAGGAGCAGGAAGAAGAAAAGCAAGAGGAAGAAGGAAAAGAAGAGGAAUUAGAAAAGGUAUGUGUUUUUACAAGGGAUUUUAAAAGCUUAUAGAUCGUGUUUUAAAGAUUUUUAGCCGUUUUUAAAAGAUAGGCAGUGUUAGAUAUGUAUUUACAAGGGAUUUUAAAGACUUCUUAAUGGGGUUUUAAAAGAUUGAAAUUCGUUUUUAAAGGAUAGGCAGUGUUCGAUAAGAUUUUACAACGGAUUUUAAAAGCUUUUUAAAAGUGAUUUACAUGAGUAACUUGUAGUUAUAAAACUUGUAAUUUUAUAUACAGGUUGAAUACAGAGGCGACGAAGGGACAGAAAAACAAGAAAUCCCCAAACAAGGCGAUGAAGAAAUGGAAGGGGAAGAAGAAAAGCAAGAGGAAGAAGGAAAAGAAGAGUAAUUAGAAAAGGUAUGUGUUUUUACAAGGGAUUUUAAAAGCUUAUAAAUCGUGUUUUAAAGAUUUUUAGCCGUUUUAAAAAGAUAAGCAGUGUUAGAUGUGUUUUUACAAGGGAUUUUAAAGACUUCUUAAUGGGGUUUUAAAAGAUUGAAAUUCGUUUUUAAAGGAUAGGCAGUGUUCGAUAAGAUUUUACAACGGAUUUUAAAAGCUUUUUAAAAGUGAUUUACAUGGUAACUUGUAGUUAUAAAACUUGUAAUUUUAUAUACAGGUUGAAUACAGAGGCGACGAAAGGACAGAAAAACAAGAAAUCCCCAAACAAGGCGAUGAAGAAAUGGAAGGGGAAGAAGAAAAGCAAAAGGAAGAAGGAAAAGAAGAGGAAGAAGAAAAGGUAUGUGUUUUUACAAGGGAUUUUAAAAGCUUAUAAAUCGUGUUUUAAAGAUUUUUAGCCGUUUUAAAAAGAUAAGCAGUGUUAGAUGUGUUUUUACAAGGGAUUUUAAAGACUUCCUAAUGGGGUUUUAAAAGAUUGAAAUUCGUUUUUAAAGGAUAGGCAGUGUUCGAUAAGAUUUUACAACGGAUUUUAAAAGCUUUUUAAAAGUGAUUUACAUGAGUAACUUGUAGUUAUAAAACUUGUAAUUUUAUAUACAGGUUGAAUACAGAGGCGACGAAGGGACAGAAAAACAAGAAAUCCCCAAACAAGGCGAUGAAGAAAUGGAAGGGGAAGAAGAAAAGCAAGAGGAAGAAGGAAAAGAAGAGGAAGAAGAAAAGGUAUGUGUUUUUACAAGGGAUUUUAAAAGCUUAUAAAUCGUGUUUUAAAGAUUUUUAGCCGUUUUAAAAAGAUAAGCAGUGUUAGAUAUGUAUUUAUAAGGGGUUUUAAAGACUUCUUAAUGGGGUUUUAAAAGAUUGAAAUUCGUUUUUAAAGGGUAGGCAGUGUUCGAUAAGAUUUUACAACGGAUUUUAAAAGCUUUUUUAAAGUGAUUUACAUGACUAAUAACUGUGUCCUGGCUUGUAUUUGGGAACUUGUAAUUAUUUAUACAGGUUGAAUACAGAGAUCAUCAUUCUACUUGCAAUGUUGAAGAAACAGAAAAACAAGAGAAUCCCAAACAAGGCGAUGAAGAAAUGGAAAGAGAAGAAGGAAAAGAAGAAAACGUAGAAGAACAUGAUGAACAUGAUGAGACUGAAGAUCAAAAAGCAUAUGUAAUUUUGUCAGAUGAUGAAGAUAAUGGGACUGCACCCACAGAGAAAGAAUCACAACCUCAAAAAGAAGAAACAACAGAGGUCUGCAUUCCUUAAUUGUUUAAAAAGACAUGAUAAAAUUGUCAAAAAAUAAAAAUUUGUUUUGAUGUUUUGGUUUACAGGUUCCAAAAGAAGAAAACGUAGAAGAACAUGAUGAACAUGAUGAGACUGAAGAUCAAGAAGCAUAUGUAAUUUUGUUAGAUGAUGAAGAUAAUGGGACUGCACCCACAGAGAAAGAAUCACAACCUCAAAAAGAAGAAAUAACAGAGGUCUGCAUUCCUUAAUUGUUUAAAAAGACAUGAUAAAAUUGUCAAAAAAUAA